AGAGAAGUACCAGAGUAGAGAUGAGGGCUUCUGGCUCCCCACAUUAUAAAGUGUUCAGACAAACUCACGGACAGGAAGAUGUCAAAGGAGCUUCCGGUGUGGCUGGCAGAGAACAGGUGGCUGGCUGUACAUAAAGCUGGCCAGCCACCUGUGAGCAGUGCCAGAGGCCCUGUCAGAACAAGCCCAAAUUCUGCAGAAGUGUGAGCACAAGACAAGGUUAAGCCAGGCCUGCUGUGAGUCAAUGAUCAAAAAGAAAAACGAGUCUCCCAUCCUCUCCCCCAGGUCCUUCUUGCCUACCUGCAGCCCCAAACUUCUUCUAAACUGACAAGUUCCCAUUACCAGGAUGAAAGCUCCAAGAUGCUCAGAGCUCCUGUCCACAUCUGGAUUCAUGUUCUAGGAGUAUGAAGGAGACAGUGGAAUGGAACACCCAGCAGGGAGGCCUUGUUGACAGCUCUCUCACUCUCUCUCUCUUUCCUCCCUCUCUCUCUCUCUCCCUCUCUCUCUCUCUCUCUCAUGGAGCUGUGCUUAUAUUUGGAAGGCAUGUGCUGGCUCUGGUGAGGGACACUCACUGGCUGGAGACAGAGGAAGGGGCAGGAUAGCAGUUCCUUAUAUAACCAGAUAAAGUGGCUAUCACUAGAGAUAGGGAGGUGACUUUGUAGGCUGCGGCUUCCUGGUAAAGCCACCACCAUCUCUGCUCUUUGCAAGGAUAUGGGUAAAGCCUCUUUGAUUGUCAAGAUGUCUAAGGUGG
rnacentral:lncRNA from 1 species